rnacentral:rRNA from 1 species
GCAUGUCUAGUAUAGCAUUAUACCGUGAAACUGCGAAUGGCUCAUUAAAUCAGUUAUCGUUUAUUUGAUAGUACCUUACUACUUGGAUACCCGUGGUAAUUCUAGAGCUAAUACAUGCUAAAAACCCCGACUUCGGGAGGGGUGUGUUUAUUAGAUAAAAAACCAACGCCCUUCGGGGCUCCUUGGUGAUUCAUGAUAACCUCUCAGAUCGCACGGCCUUGCGCCGGCGACGGUUCAUUCAAAUUUCUGCCCUAUCAACUUUCGAUGGUAAGGUAUUGGCUUACCAUGGUUUCAACGGGUAACGGGGAAUUAGGGUUCGAUUCCGGAGAGUGAGCCUGAGAAACGGCUCACACAUCCAAGGAAGGCAGCAGGCGCGCAAAUUACCCAAUCCCGACACGGGGAGGUAGUGACAAUAAAUACUGAUACAGGGCUCUUUUGGGUCUUGUAAUUGGAAUGAGUACAAUUUAAACCUCUUAACGAGGAACAAUUGGAGGGCAAGUCUGGUGCCAGCAGCCGCGGUAAUUCCAGCUCCAAUAGCGUAUAUUAAAGUUGUUGCAGUUAAAAAGCUCGUAGUUGAAUCUUUGGCCUGGCUGGCGGGUCCGCCUCACCGCGUGCACUUGUCCGGCCGGGCCUUCUCUUCUGGAGAACCGCAUGCCCUUCACUGGGCGUGUUGGGGACCAGGACUUUUACUUUGAAAAAAUUAGAGUGUUCAAAAGCAGGCCUUUGCUCGAAUACGUUAGCAUGGAAAUAAUAGAAUAGGACGUGCGGUCUUAUUUUGUUGGUUUCUAAGACCGCCGUAC